rnacentral:misc_RNA from 1 species
UGCCGAAAUUCUCUACCAG